rnacentral:rRNA from 1 species
UGCAAGUCGAACGAGAUCUUCGGAUCUAGUGGCGCACGGGUGCGUAACGCGUAUGCAACUUACCUCUUACUGGGGAAUAACUUCGCGAAAGUGGAGCUAAUACCGCAUAAAAGACAGUGAGGCAUCUCACAAUCUUAAAAGGUUACGGUAGGAGAUGGGCAUGCGUCCCAUUAGCUAGUUGGUAAGGUAACGGCUUACCAAGGCGACGAUGGGUAGGGGAACUGAGAGGUCGAUCCCCCACACUGGUACUGAGAUACGGACCAGACUCCUACGGGAGGCAGCAGUAAGGAAUAUUGGUCAAUGGACGAGAGUCUGAACCAGCCAUGCCGCGUGCAGGAAGAAGGCGUUCUGCGUCGUAAACUGCUUUUAUAUAGGAAGAAAAAGCUCUUGCGAGAGCGAUUGACGGUACUAUAUGAAUAAGCACCGGCUAACUACGUGCCAGCAGCCGCGGUAAUACGUAGGGUGCAAGCGUUGUCCGGAUUUAUUGGGUUUAAAGGGGGCGUAGGCGGAAGCUUAAGUCUUGGGUGAAAUCCCACCGCUCAACGGUGGAACUGCCUGAGAAACUGGGUUUCUUGAGUAUAGUUGAGGUAGCUGGAAUUGGUGGUGUAGCGGUGAAAUGCAUAGAUACCACCAGGAACCCCUAUUGCGAAGGCAAGUUACUAAGCUAUAACUGACGCUGAGGCACGAAAGCGUGGGGAGCGAACAGGAUUAGAUACCCUGGUAGUCCACGCCGUAAACGAUGAUGACU